UACGUAGGCGGAAAAUUAAGUCAGUAGUGAAAUCCCGCAGCUUAACUGUGGAUCUGUUAUUGAUACUGGUUUUCUUGAAUAUAGUUGAGGUAGGCGGAAUGUGUAAUGUAGCGGUGAAAUGCUUAGAUAUUACACAGAACACCGAUUGCGAAGGCAGCUUACUAAGCUAUGAUUGACGCUGAGGUACGAAAGCGUGGGGAGCGAACAGGAUUAGAUACCCUGGUAGUCC
rnacentral:rRNA from 1 species